rnacentral:rRNA from 1 species
AGUGAACGCUGGCGGCGUGCCUAAUACAUGCAAGUCGAACGGAGUGGCGCACGGGUGAGUAAUGUAUAGCUAAUCUGCCCUACACUAGAGGACAACAGUUGGAAACGGCUGCUAAUACUCUAUAGUGUAGGAUGAGGCUAUAUUGUAUCAGCUAGUUGGUGAGGUAAUGGCUGACCAAGGGUAUGACGCAUAACUGGUUUGAGAGGAUGAUCAGUAACACUGGAAGUGAGACACGAGCCAGACUCCUACGGGAGGCAGCAGUAGGGAAUAUUGCUCAAUGGGGGAAACCCAGAAGCAGCAUCGGCGCGUGGAGGAUGACACUUUGCGGAGCGUAAACUCCUUUUGUUAGGGAAGCGGUACCUAACGAAUAAGCACCGGCUAACUCCGUGCCAGCAGCCGCGGUAAUUC